GGCGGUGUAGCUUAGUUGGUUAGAGCGCUCGGCUCAUACCCGGGAGGUCGAGGGUUCAAGUCCCUCUGCCGCUACCA
rnacentral:tRNA from 1 species